AGAGUUUGAUCCUGGCUCAGAUUGAACGCUGGCGGCGUGCUUAACACAUGCAAGUCGAGCGGCAGCGCGGGGGCAACCCUGGCGGCGAGCGGCGAACGGGUGCGUAAUGCAUGGGAAUCUGCCUAGUAGUGGGGAAUAACCCGGCGAAAGCCGGGCUAAUGCCGCAUACGACCUACGGGUGAAAGCGGGGGAUCGCAAGACCUCGCGCUAUUAGAUGAGCCCAUGUCGGAUUAGCUAGUUGGUAGGGUAACGGCCUACCAAGGCGACGAUCCGUAGCUGGUCUGAGAGGAUGAUCAGCCACACUGGGACUGAGACACGGCCCAGACUCCUACGGGAGGCAGCAGUGGGGAAUAUUGGACAAUGGGCGCAAGCCUGAUCCAGCCACGCCGCGUGAGUGAUGAAGGUUUUCGGAUCGUAAAACUCUGUCCUGAGGGAAGAAUAUCCUAGGUUCAAAUAGGUCCUAGGCUUGACGGUACCUCUGGAGGAAGCACCGGCUAACUCCGUGCCAGCAGCCGCGGUAAAACGGAGGGUGCAAACGUUGCUCGGAAUUACUGGGCGUAAAGCGCAUGCAGGCGGACUGUUAAGUUUCGUGUGAAAGCCCUGGGCUCAACCCAGGAAGUGCACGGAAAACUGGCAGACUAGAGUACUGGAGAAGUGGGCGGAAUUCCGGGUGUAGAGGUGAAAUUCGUAGAUAUCCGGAGGAACACCAGCAGCGAAAGCGGCUCACUAGACAGAUACUGACGCUCAGAUGCGAAAGCGUGGGUAGCAAACAGGAUUAGAUACCCUGGUAGUCCACGCCGUAAACGAUGGGCACUAGAUGUCGGAGGUUUGACCCCUUCGGCGUCGUAGCUAACGCGUUAAGUGCCCCGCCUGGGGAGUACGGUCGCAAGAUUAAAACUCAAAGGAAUUGACGG
rnacentral:rRNA from 1 species